AGGAUAUAAGUGACCUUCUGGAGCUACAGCUUCAUCUCGUGGGUUACCAUGGCUGCUCCAUCGCCUGUGGAGGAGGUGAUUCCAUUAAUCAAACCCCAACAAAACUCUCCAUGCACAAAGUCCAUUUAUUUGGGCUCUGCAAAAGGUGAGAAGAUUUAAGCCACAGACAGAAUGUGUCACUGUGAUAGGGCAUACACCUCCCAUCCUGCACAACAAAGGGUUAAGGAGCUUCUCUGGGCCCAGCCAACUCCAGCCUGCCACAGCUGCCAGGAAUCUACAGGCUGGAGGAGAAGUUUAAAAGGGAAGCAGAGCCGCUCACUUGUGGGCAGACCAGGGAAGAGAACAAAUCUUCAACCCUCAGCUCCUGAAGAGAGGGAUGGUUGAAGGCAGGCGCUUCCCUGACAACUCCUGCCUGAAGGCCAGAUCCUGAUAUGCCCUGAGAGGGAGGCAUUUCGCUCCUCCCCUUACUUGCUCAGUUUAUUUGUGUUAGUUCCCCUUGCUUUUUGUUCAUAGACUACACUGGAAGGGGAGAGGUUUUGAAGUGAUGUGGCCAAUGGGCCAAGUCACAGGAAGAGGCAGGCCACUGCAGAUGUGGAGCACUCAAUAGCAGCAGACCCCAGUGCUCAGACAGCUGCUAUGCCACAGCUACUCAUGAGGAGAUGCCAUUGAGAUACGCAGAAGACUGAAUCCCCAGGAGGCCUUCCUAACUUGGAGAACAAAGACAAUUCUUUGGGAAUAUAAGGGACAGAGAGACUCCAUCUUUCACUAAAAAAGAGUAGAGAAACCAGCACCUCCAUAGUUCCGUGGAAGGUCCUGACCGAGAGAAUGUCUGCCCUGCUGGACAAAGACUAUCGAAAAGAAGUCAUGGAAGAGAAGAGAUGUGUAUAAUGGCAACUAGGUCACCAGACUUGCUUCCAUCAAAGAGGGAAUUCACAGCACUGCAGAGACAAGUACAUGGCCCUCCUGGCACUGAUGUGAGUGCUUGUGCUAUCAUCUGGAGAAACACUUUCUUCAUUGGCUUAGCAAAUCCUGCAUUUGGCGUUAAGUACUCUAUUAAAAAAUAU